rnacentral:rRNA from 1 species
GAUGAACGCUGGCGGCGUGCCUAAUACAUGCAAGUCGAGCGAAUGGAUUAAGAGCUUGCUCUUAUGGAGUUAGCGGCGGACGGGUGAGUAACACGUGGGUAACCUGCCCAUAAGACUGGGAUAACUCCGGGAAACCGGGGCUAAUACCGGAUAACAUUUUGAACCGCAUGGUUCGAAAUUGAAAGGCGGCUUCGGCUGUCACUUAUGGAUGGACCCGCGUCGCAUUAGCUAGUUGGUGAGGUAACGGCUCACCAAGGCAACGAUGCGUAGCCGACCUGAGAGGGUGAUCGGCCACACUGGGACUGAGACACGGCCCAGACUCCUACGGGAGGCAGCAGUAGGGAAUCUUCCGCAAUGGACGAAAGUCUGACGGAGCAACGCCGCGUGAGUGAUGAAGGCUUUCGGAUCGUAAAACUCUGUUGUUAGGGAAGAACAAGUGCUAGUUGAAUAAGCUGGCACCUUGACGGUACCUAACCAGAAAGCCACGGCUAACUACGUGCCAGCAGCCGCGGUAA